ACCUCAAAAUGAAUCAAGCAGGAUCAGGUAUAACAGGAUCCAUCAUACCUCUAAUCACAUUAUCUAGCCCUGAUUAUACAAGUAGGCUAAAAAUUGGAGUCAGGCAGCCAGACUUGGUGUUCUUCUAGGACUGCUUAUGUAAGAGAGCUGUUGCGAUGUCUGUUCCAAUGGCAGUAUGGGCAUGUUAUCUGAGAGCAUACGCACCCAAAGCGAAGCCCACCCACUUCUGCAAGAACUGUAUCUCCCUGUGACAGCGAUGCCACUACCAUGCUGCUAGACUUUCCACCGCCCUUUAAAAUUUUGGACAUUUUGUGGAGCAGAAACUAAAGCCCUAAGUCGCGAGGGGGAGUGGGGACGGCAUCAGGUGGCGUGGCUGUCAGAAAAGCAAGCUGUGGUUUAAUGGAGAAGGUUUGUGAGCCAGGACACCGGCAUCCCCGCGGCACGAGACUUCCCGCCGAGCUAGUGGGGCGCUUUAUCCACGUUCGCCCGGGGCCCCCGCAGCCGGCAGGGCUUCACCAGCGCGACUGCCCCUCACUUCUCAGCGGGGCUCGCCACGUGGACGCGGCUCCGUCGCCCCGGCUCUGAGCUGACACAGUCCCACCUCCCUCAGCCAGCUCUGCGGUGGGGCCGCACGGGCCCAGGCGGGAACGCGGCGUGCGCAGACCACUCGCUUAACCGCUCCGCGCCUGCCUCGGCCUGAGCGACGGAUGACGACGCUCCUCACACAGACAGCGCUUCCCCGGCGUCGGGUGCGCGUCCGGCAGCGUCAGCCGGGUCCCGGCUCUGCCCGCAGGCUGCCCCCGCUCCCCCGCGGAGGAAAGGCCUGCGUCGCCUCCUCCCCUUCGCCGAGCCGCUUCGACCUUGCCCAGACCGCAGGCAGCGCAGGGCCUGCCCCCUACCUCUCGCGCGGGGCGCCGGGGAUGUGGUCGUACUUGGCGUGGACGCGCUGCACGUAGCCGCAGUAAAUGCCGAAGGCCAGGAGCAGUGCGGCCAGGAGCAGAAGGGAAAGGGCCCCCAGGGCCCCCAGCACCUCCAUGGCCUCCGGGGGGCCAGGCCCAGCCCGGGCGCGCUGGGCGGGCGGUCCGGGGCCGGACGAGCUCCGGCUGCCGGAGGAAGCCGGGAAGGAGGCCAGGCAGCGCGCGGCGGAGCUUAAAGCGGCAGCACAGCCGCGGCGGGGAGCGGGGCGAGCAGGCAGCGGCUGCGCAGGCAGGCAGGCAGGCGGGUCAGGGCGCCCCAUCGCCGGGCGGGAGUCAGGGCAGCCCGGGAGCACAGCCUGCUCCUCGCCGGGGGGUGAUGCCAUCCCCAAAGGCCCUGAGCGCAGCGGGGGGAGGACAGGCGGGACAAACCCUGCAGCCAGCCGUGUCCUUUAAAGAAAAAAGGCACAGCAGCUGUCUUGCACAGCAUACCUCCAUUCACAUGCUCUUUCCCCGUGCAUGCUUUAUCCAGCUUGCUGGAGACAGGAUACUAAGCUAGAUGGAGUUUUACCAUUUAUUCUUAUAUUUUGCUGCCCAUGGACAUCCGGACAUGUUUCUCACCACCGUACAAGGCUGCUGCAGGAGCUCCUACCCCUGCCUUUUCCCCAUGUGGAGUCUUUCCCAGGCCUCCCUGCCUCCCUCCCAGCAGCUCCCAUAUGGCUGUACCUCUCCUCAGCAGGAGGGUGGGAUGUAAUUCAGGGCACCCCCUGUUUUUGUCCAUCUGAUGCAGCAAUCAUAUGCCAGGCACCUCAGACAGCCAGCUUGCUUUGCCUUUCAAAUGUAAGAAAGCCUGCAAGUUUUCAUUGGUUUUCUUUUGUCGCUUCUGCUUGUUUUUGAGACUAGCAGAUCAGAGAUAGCAGAGCACUGCUAUCAAAACAACAACAACUCAUGCUGGGGUGAAGUGAGGGUCUGUUAUCUUUAUUUUACUUUGGUUUCAAAAUGGUAAAUAAUUUUGAAUGGCCAGUGUUCUGCCUGGGACUGGUAGAGAGGCAAUGGGGAGCCAGUAGGUGAAGGAGAGUUUAAAGAGCAUCCGUAGCAGCUGAGACUCUGUGUCUUAUUUUUCCUGGCUGCCUGUGAUAUGUCUCUCAGUCUGUCUACAUACCCCUCACUAACAACUUUUGAACCUAGCGGACAAAUUCAUCAAAAUUUGACAUAGAAAUACAGAUCACAAAAUAGAUGAAAACCAGGUAGAUGAAAGAAAUUGUCUGGUUUUGUAAUCCGAGCUCAGCCUGUGUUAGAGAUGAUGUAUGGGAAAGAGACGGCACCCAUGGGAGACACAUCAGUCAGAGCCUGCACUGGAUUAGCAGAAAGCACCGAGCCCACAGUUCGGUGGCCUACAGACCCGCCUGCUCCACGUUGGGCAGCUCUCAAUGAGUGAGAAUGAAAGCGUUGGUAUUGCAGACCUCAAAGGAUGUGAGGGAUUUUCUUCUGACAUCCCCAGGAACCAGCAGAUCUUACGGCAAGCAUGGCCCAAGCCUGCCCAUGCUUCAGUCACUUGGCCCACUCUCCCACCGGUGGUGGGGCAGGAUUUUGGUGCUGUUGGCACAGCUGGCCCUGCGGAGGCAGAAGCAGCUGGACAAGCUACCGAAUGGCCGUUACUAGGGCCUGGCAACCAGCACCUCCACUUCACUCUGAGGUUCGUUUCUCCCUUUGCCCCUUUGCCAUGGCAGACUCUCCUGGGAUGGUUACUGCAACGGUUGAUGUGACCCUCACCUCCGGGGGGGAUGCCAGGACUGCACGGAGCUUUCCAGCCAUCCUCAAGGCAUGCUGAUGGUCUCCUUUCUCUGCUGAGAAGGUCAGAUGUGUACGGUGAGGCAAGGCUAGUGCCUUUCUUGCCUUGAAAUCUGAGGUGUCAUGGACAGCUGGUGCCUCAGCCAAAAACACCAGGCAUGGCGAGACUCAGGACAAAACCGUGAAGGCUGGCAGCUGGGAGGGGUUCUUGGGCUUUCCAGUUCGGGUGGCUACAAUGCUCAAGAAGGAGAGGCAGGAAACCUGAUGUGCCCUUUAAGAACAAAUACAACCUGGUCUCCUUUUCCACUGAUUUCCAACCUGUGCCCCAUGUGGCACCUCUUUUGUGGGCUCCCAUUGCAUAGCACAAAUUAUGAGCUUGUUGGUAAUGCUGUGACCUCUGAGAAAUGCUGUAACUUGGUAAUGGUACAAAAUGUUACAUACUGAAGUCAUUGGCUGUCAGUAGAUGACAGAGCAGAAGCUGGUUGUGUUUUUUAAAUAUUGUUUGGAUUUCUGUUAAAUUUAACAUUGAUUUUCUUUCUUUUGUUUGAAAUAAUUGCAACAACCCUGGAAUGAUUUUUCUCUAUGUUUUAGGUACUUAGUCUCAGCACUAUCUUUGUCUUUACGUGGAUUUUGUUUAUCUGGAAAUUACUGUGCUUUAUCAAUGAACAACAAUAUUAUGUAACUACUAUUUCUAUUUAUCUUAAUUAAAAGUCAUUUUUUCCUUUCUGUUAACCUUGGGGUUUUAUAACCUCUUGUUUUCAGAAAAAAGCUAGCAUUCCUUCCCAUUUUGUCAGACAAUACAUAUAUAUCAUGAUCUCCUGAUAUGAAUUCCAAUUCCAAUCAGUGGGAAAGGCAUAGCUAAUCACAAAAAUAGCAUCACCCAGAGAAAGUGCUUAAAAACUGAAGCUAAUUAAUGAAACCAUGUCUUUAAAGCCACUGAAUGAACUUCAUGAUGAAAGGUUGAUUUUCCGAGUUUUAUCAACCUUUUUUUUUUUCAGAAUUAUUCAGGAACAGAUUGUAACUAUGUGUAAUGUAGUCAUUCAUUUGAAAUCACUCAGAAUAAUUCCUGUGGAAAAUUCCAGCUCCUACCUUGUUUGUGAGCAGCUCACAGGGAGUAUUUAAUAUGUGAUAAAAUAUUUGAUAUUUUAUACAUUUUGAUGGGAUAGAGAGUCUAUGUAAUAUAUUUCUGAUCCCUGAUUAGAAUAGGCAAGCUCUCAGAAUGAAGCUUCUCAUGCAAAUGUAAUUAUCAGUCAGUAACUCCCCUUUCAUAAGUAUUCAGCCUGGGUAGAUUGGAGAUUAUAUUUCUGGCGUUAAAGAUAAGCUUUAAUAAAAACUUCUGUUUGUAUUCUAA